rnacentral:rRNA from 1 species
AUUGAACGCUGGCGGCAUGCCUUACACAUGCAAGUCGAACGGCAGCACGGGAGCAAUCCUGGUGGCGAGUGGCGAACGGGUGAGUAAUAUAUCGGAACGUGCCCGGUCGUGGGGAUAACGUAGCGAAAGCUACGCUAAUACCGCAUACGAUCUACGGAUGAAAGCGGGGGAUCGCAAGACCUCGCGCGAUUGGAGCGGCCGAUAUCAGAUUAGGUAGUUGGUGAGGUAAAGGCUCACCAAGCCGACGAUCUGUAGCUGGUCUGAGAGGACGACCAGCCACACUGGGACUGAGACACGGCCCAGACUCCUACGGAGGCAGCAGUGGGGAAUUUUGGACAAUGGGCGCAAGCCUGAUCCAGCAAUGCCGCGUGCAGGAUGAAGG